UACGGGGGGGGCAAGCGUUGUUCGGAAUUACUGGGCGUAAAGCGCGUGUAGGCGGCAGCGCAAGUCGGAUGUGAAAUCCCAUGGCUCAACCAUGGAAGUGCACCCGAAACUGCGUCGCUAGAGUCCUGGAGAGGAAGGUGGAAUGCUUGGUGUAGAGGUGAAAUUCGUAGAUAUCAAGCGGAACACCGGUGGCGAAGGCGGCCUUCUGGACAGUGACUGACGCUGAGACGCGAAAGCGUGGGGAGCAAACAGG
rnacentral:rRNA from 1 species